GAUGAACGCUGGCAGCGUGCCUAAUACAUGCAAGUCGAGCGAACAGACGAGGAGCUUGCUCCUCUGACGUUAGCGGCGGACGGGUGAGUAACACGUGGAUAACCUACCUAUAAGACUGGGAUAACUUCGGGAAACCGGAGCUAAUACCGGAUAAUAUAUUGAACCGCAUGGUUCAAUAGUGAAAGACGGUUUUGCUGUCACUUAUAGAUGGAUCCGCGCCGCAUUAGCUAGUUGGUAAGGUAACGGCUUACCAAGGCAACGAUGCGUAGCCGACCUGAGAGGGUGAUCGGCCACACUGGAACUGAGACACGGUCCAGACUCCUACGGGAGGCAGCAGUAGGGAAUCUUCCGCAAUGGGCGAAAGCCUGACGGAGCAACGCCGCGUGAGUGAUGAAGGUCUUCGGAUCGUAAAACUCUGUUAUUAGGGAAGAACAAAUGUGUAAGUAACUAUGCACGUCUUGACGGUACCUAAUCAGAAAGCGACGGCUAACUACGUG
rnacentral:rRNA from 1 species